rnacentral:rRNA from 1 species
CCUACGGGGGGCUGCAGUGGGGAAUAUUGGACAAUGGGGGGAACCCUGAUCCAGCCAUGCCGCGUGUGUGAAGAAGGCCCUCGGGUUGUAAAGCACUUUCAGUGAGGAAGAACGCCUGGUGGUUAAUACCCAUCAGGAAAGACAUCACUCACAGAAGAAGCACCGGCUAACUCCGUGCCAGCAGCCGCGGUAAUACGGAGGGUGCGAGCGUUAAUCGGAAUUACUGGGCGUAAAGCGCGCGUAGGUGGCUUGAUAAGCCGGUUGUGAAAGCCCCGGGCUCAACCUGGGAACGGCAUCCGGAACUGUCAAGCUAGAGUGCAGGAGAGGAAGGUAGAAUUCCCGGUGUAGCGGUGAAAUGCGUAGAGAUCGGGAGGAAUACCAGUGGCGAAGGCGGCCUUCUGGACUGACACUGACACUGAGGUGCGAAAGCGUGGGUAGCAAACAGGAUUAGAACCCCAGUAAUC